rnacentral:rRNA from 1 species
UUCCGGUUGAUCCUGCCGGACCCGACUGCUAUUUGGGUGAGGAUAAGCCAUGCGAGUUGAAUGGGAUACCUAAAUUUCCCAUGGCAAACUGCUCAGUAACACAUGAUCAACUUACCCUAUAGAGAAAAAUAACCUCGGGAAACUGAGGAUAAUGUUUCAUAGUUGAAUAGGCUUGGAAAAGUUUUUCAAUAAAAGGGAUAAAAAAAAUGGUUUUUAUCUGCUAUAGGAUAGGAUCGUGGACGAUUAUGGUUGUUGGUGAGGUAACGGCUCACCAAGCCGAUAAUCGAUAGGGGCCGUGAGAGCGGGAGCCCCGAGAUGGGUACUGAGACAACGACCCAGGCCUUACGAGGCGCAGCAGGCGCGGAACCUCCGCAAUACACGAAAGUGUGACGGGGUUACCCAAAGUGUUCAAUUCUGAACUGUGGUAGGUGAGUAAUGUUCCCUACUAGAAAGGAGAGGGCAAGGCUGGUGCCAGCCGCCGCGGUAAAACCAGCUCUUCAAGUGGUCGGGAUAAUUAUUGGGCUUAAAGUGUCCGUAGCCGGUUUAGUAAGUUCCUGGUAAAAUCGGGUAGCUUAACUAUCCAUAUGCUAGGAAUACUGCUAUACUAGAGGGCGGGAGAGGUCUGAGGUACUACAGGGGUAGGGGUGAAAUCUUAUAAUCCUUGUAGGACCACCAGUGGCGAAGGCGUCGGACUGGAACGCGCCUGACGGUGAGGGACGAAAGCCAGGGGAGCGAACCGGAUUAGAUACCCGGGUAGUCCUGGCCGUAAACGAUGCAUACUAUGUGAUGGUACGGCCAUGAGCCGUAUCAGUGCCGUAGGGAAACCGUUAAGUGUGCCGCCUGGGAAGUACGGUCGCAAGGCUAAAACUUAAAGGAAUUGGCGGGGGAGCGCCACAGGGGUGAAGCCUGCGUUCAAUUGGACUCAACGCCGGUAAUC